GAUCAGUGGCUCAGGACGAACGCUGGCGGCAUGCCUAAUACAUGCAAGUCGAACGCGACCAGCCGGUGCUUGCACUGGCGAAGUCGAGUGGCGAACGGGUGAGUAACACGUGAGAAACCUACCCUGGAGUGGGGAAUAACUCGAAGAAAUUCGAGCUAAUACCGCAUACCUUCUUACCGUCGAAUGGUGGUUUGAAGAAAGAUUUAUCGCUCUGGGAGGGUCUCGCGGCCUAUCAGCUAGUUGGUGAGGUAACGGCUCACCAAGGCAUCGACGGGUAGCUGGUCUGAGAGGACGAUCAGCCACACUGGAACUGAGACACGGUCCAGACUCCUACGGGAGGCAGCAGUAGGGAAUCUUGCGCAAUGGGCGAAAGCCUGACGCAGCAAUGCCGCGUGCGGGACGAAGGCCCUAGGGUCGUAAACCGCUUUCAGUAGGGACGAAAAUGACGGUACCUGCAGAAGAAGCUCCGGCCAACUACGUG
rnacentral:rRNA from 1 species